rnacentral:rRNA from 1 species
CGGCUAUUUCCGUCCCAGCAGCCGCUGUAAUACGGAGGGUGCAAGCGUUAAUCGGAAUUACUGGGCGUAAAGCGCACGCAGGCGGUUUGUUAAGUCAGAUGUGAAAUCCCCGGGCUCAACCUGGGAACUGCAUCUGAUACUGGCAAGCUUGAGUCUCGUAGAGGGGGGUAGAAUUCCAGGUGUAGCGGUGAAAUGCGUAGAGAUCUGGAGGAANUNANCCGGUGGCGAAGGCGGCCCCCUGGACGAAGACUGACGCUCAGGUGCGAAAGCGUGGGGAGCAAACAGGAUUAGAUACCCUGGUAGUCCACGCCGUAAACGAUGUCGACUUGGAGGUUGUGCCCUUGAGGCGUGGCUUCCGGAGCUAACGCGUUAAGUCGACCGCCUGGGGANGNUACGGCCGCAAGGUUAAAACUCAAAUGAAUUGACGGGGGCCCGCACAAGCGGUGGAGCAUGUGGUUUAAUUCGAUGCAACGCGAAGAACCUUACCUGGUCUUGACAUCCACGGAAGUUUUCAGAGAUGAGAAUGUGCCUUCGGGAACCGUGAGACAGGUGCUGCAUGGCUGUCGUCAGCUCGUGUUGUGAAAUGUUGGGUUAAGUCCCGCAACGAGCGCAACCCUUAUCCUUUGUUGCCAGCGGUCCGGUUGGUUUCUCAAAGGAGACUGCCCCCUGAUUUUUUUGGAGGAGGGUGGUUUUUUUUUU